AAAGUUUGAGAACCACUGACUUAGACUCUCGAUAAAACCCAUACUAAUGCUACAGUAGGAGCACCACAAUAUGCCUACCUUUCAUUUGCACUUCAGCUGGUUAGAUUUAGGUUUUGAAAUGGUUCUUUGUGUUUAUAGGGAGUGCACCUAUGGGACCUGCAGGACCGGGUGCUGGUGAGGAAGUACCAAGGUGUGACCCAGGGCUUCUACACCAUCCACUCCGGCUUCGGAGGGCACAAUGAAGACUUCAUCGCUAGUGGCAGCGAAGAUCACAAAGUUUACAUCUGGCACCGGCGCAGCGAGCUGCCCAUCGCUGAGCUGACGGGGCACACCCGCACCGUCAACUGUGUGAGCUGGAACCCUGUCCUGCCCGGGCUGCUGGCCAGCGCCUCUGACGAUGGGACCGUCCGCAUCUGGGGCCCCGCCCCCUUCCUGGACGUCCAGGAGGCAGACGGCCUCAAUGAUUGUAGCAGCAUGGACAGCUGAUGGUGUGCGCUGAGCCUGAGGAGCAUUGAGACUCUGAACUCUUUGAACUGAUGAAGCAGGAAGUGCUCCCGUCGUCAGGCAGUAGCUUCCUGGAGACGGCCCGCGGUGCUGCAUGGCAGGAUGUCACCACACAGAGAUGUCAGAGCAGGCACAUCAUCCAGAGCAGAGCCGGACACAUGAAGCUCUCUCCUCCUCCUCCUCCUCCUCCCCCUCCUCCUCUGCUCCCUCUCCACCACCCAGGACCACCAACCUGCUCUUAUUUAUUAUCAACUACAUUAUUUAUUCAUGAGUAGUUUACUGACUUGUGCUAGGCUGUGACAUAGCGGCGCCUUGUGGACGGUGUGUUUUAGGUUUGUUUCCUAUCAGCUGCUCACACCAAGCAGCAGAAGCCCUUUCCCUCCUCACCUGCAGAACCUAUUUAGAGAUUUGAACCAUCCAAACAUUUGAUGGAUGCACCCACUUGAAGAGAAUCUUAAUAUCCUUGUCUUUUCUUUCAUGCAAUGUAUAUUUUACACAUUUAUUUCUGCUCAUAGCCAGAGGGAGUAGUGUUUGAUGAGCAUGUUUCAUACGUCCUGCUUCAUCUCUUCAAUCCGCUGUGUCGAUGCCUUCUGAGAGUAAGCAGCAGCUAACGUGUGGAAACCUGUAGAGUAGUUUCCCUCAUGCCAUCAGUGGAUUUGUAUCUUUAUUUUUCCCUUCAGUAUUUAAUCUUUGAUUCAUCUUUUCCUGCUUACAAAAAGCAUAUGCAUUUCACUUGGUUUGGUUUAGUUACAUGUUCUGAGUUUAAUGGUGUUUGUUUGGAUUUACUACAAAUGGAGAUAUAAUGUUUAAAGAGACACUCUAAUUUAUUGCUUUACCUUCAACAUCACGGCUCAGUGUGAAGUGUUUUAGAGAUGAGGCUGGUGUUAUAAUAUUUAAUAUUGUUAAAAAAUCUAAUGCAGAAACCAUCAAUCAAUCAAUGUGUGUGUUCAAGGUGAUGAAGAAUACGUUACCCAGUGCAACUCUGAUACAGAAGGAAUAAUACAUAUCAGGCGUUGAUACACACACAAAACUUCCUAUAAGAUACAGUUAUUUUUUGGUCUCUGCAUUAGAUUGAAUUAUGCUAAAAAUAAAGAAAAAAUUGCCAGCCUUCUCCUUUUAUUUGAACACACCCCAGUGAGCUGACACACACAGUAACACUGAUGGAUCUGUAACAAAACACGUUUGUACACAAUUGUAAAAUAUGAAGUGUAAAAGAGCAAUUUUGCCUACUAUGAUAUUCUAUGAUGUGCUGUAUAUUUAUUUGUUAUGGCAUGUAUUAUGCGGCUGCGUAGAGUGGCAGGAUGUCGGGUGUGUUCAGGGUUCCCAUGCCGUUUUCUUUUACUGUUUACUUCGCACCAAAUUUUCCUGACUGAAAUUCACAAACUGUGAAGCCAAACAUACUUUUUGGAUAUUUAAAAUGGAUCAUUUUGUGACAUCUUUUCCAAACCGCUUCAACAGAAUAUUAUUUUUUAAGGCUUUGAAGUGGAUAAGUGCAGGAGCGUCGGAACCCUGUUCAUCAUCAUCAGCGCCUCCAUCACAGAACACACACGCUAUAGGAACACAACAAUAGAUGUCUGACUCACACAAACUUGAUCUACUCACAGACGUGGUGUUCUAGUGACUUUCUUUGUUUAUCGGAGUAUUUCUGGCUUCUCGCUGUAAGAAGCCACAGUAGGAACUUAGUUUGCUUGCAGGCAGUUUCUGCCAGAAAACCAUUUUACGUUUUAAAUGUGUUACUACAAAAAAAGUGAUUGUACUGUUCUGUAUUGUAUGUAGGAGUGUUAUGUAUGCAUAUUUAAAAUAAAGAAUUCAGGGUUUUAAAAUGUAA